GAGGGAAUCUUCGGCAAUGGACGAAAGUCUGACCGAGCAACGCCGCGUGAGUGAAGAAGGUUUUCGGAUCGUAAAACUCUGUUGGUAGAGAAGAACGUUGGUGAGAGUGGAAAGCUCAUCAAGUGACGGUAACUACCCAGAAAGGGACGGCUAACUACGUGCCAG
rnacentral:rRNA from 1 species